GACAGGAUCUUGCUACAUUGCCAAGUUGCCCAGGCUGGGCUUAAACUUGCAAUCCUCCUGCCUCAGCCUCUGAGUGCUGGGAUUAUAGACAUGAGCCACCACACUCAGCUUUGUGUCUCUUUCAUGAAGCAGCUUAACCUACUAGGGCUUUUGCACAGUCCAAGGCCAUCCAAGACAGAGGCAUUGAAACUGUAGCUAAAAACUUUCCCCAACAAAGAAAACUCCAGACUGAAUUGAGUUCAUUAUUGAAUUACCAAAUGUUUAAGGAAGAAUAUUAACAACUUUACACAAAAUUUUCUAGAAAAACAAAAGAGAGGAGAUAGUUUUCAACUCAUUGUAUGAGGCCUGGAAUACUCCGAUAACUAAAAAAAGGGCCUCUUUCUGACUUGAACUCAGCUUCUUUACCCUAGGCUAAGUAUCUCUCACAGCUGUGCCUCACUCUGACGCUGGGAGUCCCAAGAUGGAGCCAACCCAUCGCUGUUCUGAGUCCUAGGUUCAUUUGACCCCUUUCUAAAAUGGUGACCAGCCAAUCACCCUCUCUUGGGGAUGUUUAAAUUGGAACCACUCAGCCAUUGCAGCCUGCAGCAUCCACUGCUCCAUCUCCACUGGUGCAUGGAGGCCUCUGGAGUCACCCAUGGUCACCACAACUCUGUAGGUUCAAGCCACCUCUCUCAUGCGACAAGCUGGGAUUCAUGGAGAAAGUGCUGUUUGCUACCUUGCUCUUCUGCAUUGAGGUCCCUCUCUUUACUCUCCCCAAGGGCUCCAAUUCUUUCUCCAGAUCCAUACUGGGUCCUGAGGAACCACUUCCCUCCUUCUUCUCUUCCCCAUAUUGUUAUAUUCCAGCAUCUGGACUCCAGAUCUCAGAGAGGUUGAUUUGCUGCUGCUCACCACUCUGCCAUCUUCCCAGAAAUUCUAAUUUAAAUUUAAAUUGUCACAUAUGCUAGUAUACUGUAUGAGCAUAUGCCUAUAGGACAAUAAACAACACAUUCAACUAAUUUUUUAUUAUUCACUUGGGCAGUGAUCAGACCAUCUGAAUUUAAAACACAAAUAUAAAGCUGUGGUUGGAUAUUGUGUAGAAAAUCCAGCAGGAUGAUUGGACAUGCUAUUUUUUCAAAGAAUGUAAAAAUUCCACCCCUGUGGAAUUUACAUUCUGAGAGCAGGCUGGGAGUGGAGACAGACAAUAAACCAUAAACAAAAUUACAAGGUUAAUUUUAUGUUGUAUUAACAGGAGAUAAAUACUACAGUCGAGGUGGAGGAACAGAAAAACAGACCAAGGUAGAUGGUUUUGAGAGAGCCUGGAGAAGCAGGCUGAAUAAUAAGCAAGGAGGUCAAGAGAGCUUUAUUAGGAAGGAUAGAUCAAGAAGGCAUUUCUCAGAAAGACGUUGUGACUCUUCCUGGAACUUUACAAUGUCAGCUGCUCCCUGAAUGCGGUGUGGAAUGUCCCCUGCACAGAAAAGGAUAAUUAAGAGGCUGAAAGUGGAGACCAGGGAGUGAUAGUCACCAAGCCAAAAUCAGAGAGAACUGAGAGCCAGUGAACUUCUGUGGCACCCAUGCAGAAACGUGGACUGGCUUUGAGAUUACAGUACUGAGCCCUGAGUUUCCAAUGACCACACCUAUUUUAUGUCCAAAGCUGCAUUCAUUUCCCCCCUGCAUACAACCUUACACAAUACAGUACCAGACUAAUUGGGUAGAAUGCAACCCUGUUU
ensembl:lncRNA